AUACUUACCUGGAUGGGGUCAAUAGGUGAUCACGAAGAUCCAUGGCCUAGGUUGGUGACCUCCAUUGCACUUUGGAGGGGUGCCUGCCUAAGAUUGAUCCAAGUGAUCAAGCCUAUGUCAUCAUUUGUGGCAACAAGGCUUGUGUUCGCGUGGCCCUUAC